CCCGGGGGGGAUAAAUCUGCCCUUUCACCUUCCCCAGCUGCAGCCGGGACUCUCCGCACGGCAGAGGAAGAUGAAGGUGGCGGUGCUCAGCCUGGCCCUGCUCUUCGCCGUCCUGCUCUGCACCCCGGAGGAUGCCCAGGCCUUCGAAGCAAGCGGAGGUUACUGCAUCGGGGGGGGAAUCGGCUUCGGGCGAGUGAAGAGGGCUGCGGCCCCCCGGGCUGAGAAGCUGCUGGAGCUGGCGCGCCAGAGACGCAUGGCUGAGGCGGCCGAGGCCUAGGACUGGAACCAGCGGUGACACCCUCGUCCCGUCCCCCCGCAGCAGCACGAGGAGAUGAUCAUCCCUGGAUGGCCCCCCCCGACCCCCGGGAGCCCCAGACCGUUGCCCUCUCGCCAUCAAUAAACUCCUUCAGCAAAGCUUCA